UACGUAGGGCGCAAGCGUUAUCCGGAAUUACUGGGCGUAAAGGGCUCGUAGGCGGCCAACUAAGUCAUACGUGAAAUCCCUCAGCUUAACUGGGGAACUGCGUGUGAUACUGGAUGGCUUGGAUUUGGGAGAGGGAUGCGGAAUUCCAGGUGUAGCGGUGAAAUGCGUAGAUAUCUGGAGGAACACCGGUGGCGAAGGCGGCAUCCUGGACCGACACUGACGCUGAGGAGCGAAAGCCAGGGGAGCAAAGCGGG
rnacentral:rRNA from 1 species